CAGUAGCCGCGGGAAUACGAAGGGGGCUAGCGUUGCUCGGAAUGACUGGGCGUAAAGGGCGCGUAGGCGGAUGGCACAGUCAGAUGUGAAAUUCCCGGGCUUAACCUGGGGGCUGCAUUUGAUACGUGUUGUCUAGAGUGAGGAAGAGGGUUGUGGAAUUCCCAGUGUAGAGGUGAAAUUCGUAGAUAUUGGGAAGAACACCGGUGGCGAAGGCGGCAACCUGGUCCUUGACUGACGCUGAGGCGCGAAAGCGUGGGGGGCAAACAGGAUUAGAUACCCCUGUAGUCCCUGUCUCUUAUAC
rnacentral:rRNA from 1 species